ACUCAAAUGAAUUGACGGGGGCCCGCACAAGCGGUGGAGCAUGUGGUUUAAUUCGAUGCAACGCGAAGAACCUUACCUGGUCUUGACAUCCACGGAAGAAUCCAGAGAUGGAUUUGUGCCUUCGGGAACCGUGAGACAGGUGCUGCAUGGCUGUCGUCAGCUCGUGUUGUGAAAUGUUGGGUUAAGUCCCGCAACGAGCGCAACCCUUAUCCUUUGUUGCCAG
rnacentral:rRNA from 1 species